rnacentral:rRNA from 1 species
GACGAACGCUGGCGGCGUGCCUAAUACAUGCAAGUAGAACGCUGAAGAAAGGAGCUUGCUUCUUUUGGAUGAGUUGCGAACGGGUGAGUAACGCGUAGGUAACCUGCCUUGUAGCGGGGGAUAACUAUUGGAAACGAUAGCUAAUACCGCAUAACAGCUUUUGACACAUGUUAGAAGCUUGAAAGAUGCAAUUGCAUCACUACGAGAUGGACCUGCGUUGUAUUAGCUAGUAGGUAGGGUAACGGCCUACCUAGGCGACGAUACAUAGCCGACCUGAGAGGUGAUCGGCCACACUGGGACUGAGACACGGCCCAGACUCCUACGGGAGGCAGCAGUAGGGAAUCUUCGGCAAUGGGGGCAACCCUGACCGAGCAACGCCGCGUGAGUGAAGAAGGUUUUCGGG